rnacentral:rRNA from 1 species
AAGCUCGUAGUUGAACCUUGGGCCUGGCUGGCCGGUCCGCCUCACCGCGUGUACUGGUCCGGCCGGGCCUUUCCCUCUGUGGAACCCCAUGCCCUUCACUGGGUGUGGCGGGGAAACAGGACUUUUACUGUGAAAAAAUUAGAGUGCUCCAGGCAGGCCUAUGCUCGAAUACAUUAGCAUGGAAUAAUAGAAUAGGACGUGUGGUUCUAUUUUGUUGGUUUCUAGGACCGCCGUAAUGAUUAAUAGGGACAGUCGGGGGCAUCAGUAUUCAAUUGUCAGAGGUGAAAUUCUUGGAUUUAUUGAAGACUAACUACUGCGAAAGCAUUUGCCAAGGAUGUUUUCAUUAAUCAGGAACGAAAGUUAGGGGAUCGAAGACGAUCAGAUACCGUCGUAGUCUUAACCAUAAACUAUGCCGACUAGGGAUCGGACGAUGUUAUUAUUUGACUCGUUCGGCACCU